GAGCAGGGACGAUAUUUGAGUUCUGUCUUGAUUUCAUGUUACUGCAUACACUUUGGAGAAUUGUGUCUUGACGCUUCAAAGUUAAAAUUUUAUUGAGAUCAAAAUUUAGCCUCUAAAUCCAGAAGAGGACUUCUUCAGUCAUGACAACCAGCCAGGGGGAGCAAGGCAGAGUCAGGGUCUGGCAAGAUGGCAAUGGUCUGUAACGCUCCUGUUGAGACCCAGAGCUGUUCUUCAGGAUCCCAAUCUGAGCCGUCACGUUGGGUUCAUUCAUCUUCACGUGAAGUCGAUAGUAAAAGCAAGUUUUGGAUGCACACCAGAUGAGAAAAACAGCCAACGUGUGAAAAGUCUCGUAUGCCGCACAGCACACAGUUUCCAGCGGUAAAUGUGAAAUCAAUACGUACAUGGGAAUAAAUGGCGCUUCAUUUUCAAGGAAAUUACUCCACAAUUUGUAACAUAGCAAAUAAUUAAAUUUCCAGGAAAUUAAUUGGGAAAUGAUUCUGAGUUCCUGGAUCUGCUCCGCAUUAAUCAAAAACGGUGCAAACUGUUUUAAAAGGGACAAAGUUGCUAUAUUCUACUUGUCUACUCCAUAAAUAAGUCGGCCGAACUCCAAAGCGCAAUCAGAUGAAGCCACAGCUAGUUUGAGCCGAUGUGCUCCGAUCCACAGUCGCUGUAGGUCGGCCAGGGAGGUGUCGGCCAACUGGAGGAAAACGCUGCACGGUUUAUAUGGUUCGAUGAGUGAAUCAAACCGCUUGAGUUCGAGUGAAUUUAUCUUCAUGAUUAUUUAUAAAAAAAUAAAUCUUUCUCAUUAUACUCUCA